GAUGAACGCUGGCGGCGUGCCUAAUACAUGCAAGUCGAGCGAACAGACGAGGAGCUUGCUCCUCUGACGUUAGCGGCGGACGGGUGAGUAACACGUGGAUAACCUACCUAUAAGACUGGGAUAACUUCGGGAAACCGGAGCUAAUACCGGAUAAUAUAUUGAACCGCAUGGUUCAAUAGUGAAAGACGGUUUUGCUGUCACUUAUAGAUGGAUCCGCGCCGCAUUAGCUAGUUGGUAAGGUAACGGCUUACCAAGGCAACGAUGCGUAGCCGACCUGAGGGGGUGAUCGGCCACACGGGAACUGAGACACGGUCCAGACUCCUACGGGAGGCAGCAGUAGGGAAUCUUCCGCAAUGGGCGAAAGCCUGACGGAGCAACGCCGCGUGAGUGAUGAAGGUCUUCGGAUCGUAAAACUCUGUUAUUAGGGAAGAACAAAUGUGUAAGUAACUAUGCACGUCUUGACGGUACCAAAGCAGAAAGCCCCGGCUACCUACGU
rnacentral:rRNA from 1 species